ensembl:lncRNA
GGGAGUGUGAGGUAAUACAGUAGGGGGAGUGUGAGGUAAUACAGUAGGGGGAGUGUGAGGUAAUACAGUAGGGGGAGUGCUGCUCAGCGUGAGGUAAUACAGUAGGGGGAGUGCUGCUCAGUGUGAGGUAAUACAGUAGGGGGAGUGCUGCUCAGCGUGAGGUAAUACAGUAGGGGAGUGCUGCUCAGCGUGAGGUAAUACAGUAGGGGGAGUGUGAGGUAAUACAGUAGGGGGAGUGUGAGAGCUUCUCAAAUGUACCGUUUUAUGCAUUGACCCACACUCUAGUCCUCACAAGAACAUCCUGGGAGAAUGUACUCUGAAUGGAGCGGAGUAGUAUGGGAUUGUCCUCUGAGAAUGAGAGCGUGGUGCACGGUAGUUUUGCAUAUAGCCUGGCUGCCAAUCCUCAUCGCUCCGG